UCCCUGGUGGUCUAGUGGCUAAAACUCCAUGCUCCCAAUGAAGGGAGCCCAGGUUCAAUCCCUGGUCAGGGAA
rnacentral:tRNA from 1 species